UUUCUGCUCAGUUAGCGCAGCAUUCCUGUUAUGCCAGCAUUUUACUCUUUAGCUUUUUUGUCGCAGUGUCCGUUAGACACACAGCUCUUUAUGCUUCUCUCAGCUGGCUACAGGAAUGCUCGACACUUUGAGCUCCUGUUUACAUCUGAUCUUUCACCUGGGUGUAAGGCUUUCUCUAUUAGUCACGUUUGUUUGGUUUCCAUAGCUACUGCUGGGCCGGGUGCAGCGCUGUGAGGCGCACGUCGCAGGACUGUGACGUCACCGGACGGGCUCCCUGCACGAGACACACGCUGAUGGAGGCACUGGGUGUUCUUCUAUAAAGCCGUUGCCAUGGAUACCGUCAAACUACGAAUCCUGAGUCUCCAAAAACUCCUUAAAGAUGGCCACCGCAUUUCCAUUAUACUCCAUGGUGUUUCCCCCUAGCAAUAUGGCUGCCGCAGCAUUUAAUGGGAAGGACAAUUACCACACUGAGACCUGCACACAGACUGCUGAUACCUAGGAGAGGCCGCAGGCACAUGCGCAGUGAACGAAGAACGCCGCCGGCGCAUGUGCACUAGCGAACCAGAAGUGGGGCGGAAGUACCCGGAGACACGUGACCCGCUACUUCCGUCACCGGAAGUGUGGCGGAAGUGCCGCACUUUAAUACAUUUUCACAGUUUUGAACAUUUUAAACAGUGUUUUCGCUUUAUUAAACACUCGUUUUUAGUGUGAACAUCUUCACAGUGAUCCUGAUUGCCCUAAACCAUGUUUUAAUUUAGUGUCCUUUAUUGCUCUUAGGCUAAAUGUUUUCAUUGAGUCACAUGACCAAUUAUGACAUCACAACCCCUGAGCUAGUAUACCAGGGGUAUAAAUAGGCAUGGUAUCUCAUUCUGUCCCUACCCUUUGAAGAAGUCUGAUGUGACGAAACGCGUUGGGUUCCCUGCACUGACCUCCCUGCCUAUUUUAAGCUAAGUCAGAGCUCCUUACCUUUUACAAAGAAUGUUUUAAAAAAACUUUUUAUGUUUUAUUCCACUUUUAUGUGUUAUUAAAAACUUGUUUGUAUUAUUA